rnacentral:lncRNA from 1 species
AUCCAAAAAUCCGAAAUCCGAAAUGGUCCAAAAUCCAAAACUUUUUGAGCUCCAACACGAUGCCACAAGUGGAAAAUUCCACACCCAACCUCAUGUGACAGGUCACAGUCAAAACACAGGCACACAACAAUGAAGAUGACACUGUUAACACAGCAAAAAAAGUGCUUAUUGCCGACAUGAUGCAAAUGCAUGUUGGGCUUAUUAGAGAACCAGAGCAGCAUGCAUUCUUAACAAAAUCAUGCUGGUUUAUAAAAUCACAGAGACUUCUAAGACAAAAACUGUUGUUAAUGAGACAAGUGACUCUGGCGGAAAUAUUUUUAAAAGCCAUCUAGCAGAAUGCCUUCUCUUCCCUAGAGGCCCCAUUUCCUGGUCCCUCAAUUGAUUCUGAUGUUUCUUCCGGCCUUAAUAAAACAUCACACUUUGGCCAAAUUGAAUAAGCCUUCUCUGCUCCUAAGACUGACAUAUCUGUGUUUGGCUUACUGUGCACCAGGUACUUGAAUCUGGCUUUUGGGGUUCUACAAGAGUAGAAUAAUUUAUGUUCAAAUGCUAGAAAGAUUUUCUGCAAGGACAACAGUGAUCUAUAUUUAGAAUCAUUUAACCCUUGCAAUUAUGAAAGAUGGAAGAAGUUUUU